rnacentral:rRNA from 1 species
GACGAACGCUGGCGGCGUGCUUAACACAUGCAAGUCGAACGGAAAGGCCUCUUUCGGGGGGUACUCGAGUGGCGAACGGGUGAGUAACACGUGAGUAACCUGCCCUUGACUUUGGGAUAACUUCAGGAAACUGGGGCUAAUACCGGAUAGGAGCUCCUGCUGCAUGGUGGGGGUUGGAAAGUUUCGGCGGUUGGGGAUGGACUCGCGGCUUAUCAGCUUGUUGGUGGGGUAGUGGCUUACCAAGGCUUUGACGGGUAGCCGGCCUGAGAGGGUGACCGGCCACAUUGGGACUGAGAUACGGCCCAGACUCCGACGGGAGGCAGCAGUGGGGAAGAUUGCACAAGGGGUGGAAGCCUGAUGCAGCAACGCCGUGUGCGGGAUGACGGCCUUCGGGUUGUAAACCGCUUUCGCUCAUGACGAAGCUUUGUGUGACGGUAGUGGGUAAAGAAGCACCGGCUAACUACGUG